AGAGCUCAUAUUUGUCAUUUGAUCCUACAAUAGUACCAAAAGAGGAGUAUCUUUUAAUUCAAUCCAAAUUUCAUAGCUAUAAACCUAGUUAGGUUGCCGACACAAGAACAACCAUAUUUCCUACUUAUGCAACUAAACUUUUGGGUGUUUUGACUUAUAAAUCACAAUCUUUGUAAACUUUUAUUUCAUGCUUUUGAGUAAGGCAUGAACCAACAACUAUCUAUCAUCAAACUAUGUUUUUCAUAGCUAUUUAGGCUAUUUGCGGCUGCUUUAAAGCCAGCUAAAUUGUUCUGAACUUUGAUCGUAUGAUACAGUUUAAUCAGAAAAUGACAAAUGCAGGUUUAAAUUGCAGAUUCAUUAGAUGCAGUAGUUUUCUAGUAAAGGAACUACUUCCUACAAAAAAAAUAUGCACAAAAAUAAUUCUAGGAAGGAUCUAGAUGUCAUGUUCAAUAAAUUUUUGCUGAAAAUCUCAAAUGAAUAGGACUUCUGUGCUAAAAACUCUAAAAUUUCUCUUGUGAAAACAUGAUUUGUAGACUCACGGAGUAUUAAAAAGUGGGCUACAACAAUUUUGGAAAAAUAACAGACAAAAUUCAGAAAGAAGAAUAUCAAUAAUGGAUACGAAGUUAAAAUAACAGCAAAUUUUGUACAUAAUUAAACAUGAGUGAAGUUCUAAAAUAACAUAAAGACCAACUUUGAAUAAAAUUACCAAAUUAUACACUUUUGCAAAAAUAUCUCAAUAUAGAUAAGCUAAAAAGACAUUAUUCAGGAAGAACUAAUCAAAUUUGGAAAGAACAAGGUCGUCUGCAAAAAACAGAGUUGGAUUACUGCAUAUUGUAAUAAAAGAUGCCACCUUCCAUGAUGACAUUGAUGCUAAUAAAUACCAGAGCUCAUCCUUGUCAUUUGAUCCUACAAUAGAAUCAAAAGAGGAGUAUCUUUUAAUUCAAUCCAAAUUUCAUGGCUAUAAACCUAGUUAGGUUGCCGACACAAGAACAACCAUAUUUCCAACUUAUGCAACUAAACUUUUGGGUGUUUUGACUUAUAGAUCACAAUCUUUGUAAACUUUUAUUUCAAGCUUUUGAGUAAGGCAUGAACCAACAACUAUCUAACAUCAAACUAAGUUUUUCAUAGCUAUUUAGGCCAUCUGCGGCUGCUUUAAAGCCAGCUAAACUGUUCUGAACUUUGAUCUUAUUAUACAUUUUAAUCAGAAAAUGACAAAUGCAGGUUUAAAUUGCAGAUUCAUGAGAUGAAGUAGUUUUCUAGUUAAGGAUCUACUUCCUAUAAAAAAAAUAUGCACAAAAAUAAUUCUAGGAAGGAUCUAGAUGUCAUGUUCAAUAAAUUCUUGCUGAAAAUCUCACAUGAAUUGGACUUCUGUGCUAAAAACUCUAAAAUUUCUCUUGUGAAGGCAAUUGUGUUAUACCAGAUUAAUUACCAUACAAUAACAUGAUUUGUAGACUCACGGAGUAUUAAAAAGUGGGCUACAACAAUUUUGAAAAAAUAACAGACAAAAUUCAGAAAGAAGAAUAUCAAUUAUGGAUACGAAGUUAAAAUAACAGCAAAUUUUGUACAUAAUUAAACAUGAGUGAAGUUCCAAAAGAACAUAAAGACCAACUUUG
rnacentral:lncRNA from 1 species